CUCGUUUUUGGAGACGAAGUUACCCUAGGCUGCCCGCUCGGAUGAGCCUGCGAAUUCAGGCCCGACCCAGGCCCCUCCAGGUCGGGAAGGUACGAAGAGCCCGCUGGAUUCACACAGGGCAGGAGCGCCUUCGCAGGUGCGUGUGGAUUCUGGGUAUCGCGAGCGUAGGCCCCGGCGCAGCCCCUCUGGGCCUGCGGGACCGAACAGGCAGGUGCGUCCCAGCGGCCGGGCGGGCCGGGUCUCCCUCCUGCGGGCAGGCGCCGGGCUGCGGGGCGCGGCUGCCGGAGCGGGGCAGCCGGGCGCAGCGCCCCCUGGGCCUGAAGACUGGCGGGCGGCGGGGGCGCGCGCAGGCCGGCGGGGGCGCGCCGCGCUGCGAGGCCUGCGCGCCAGGCUGCGGGAGCCAUGCGGCGAUCGAGGAGCUCUGCGGCCGCCAAGCUGCGCGAGCAGAAGCGGUCCGGGGCCUCCGGGGCCUCCGCGGCCGCUACCUCGGCCCCCGGCGCUACCCGCACACGGCGCUCCGCGAGCCAGGCCGGGAGCAAGAGCCAGGCGGCGCAGAAGCCGCCGUCGGAGAAGCCGCGGCUGAGGCGCUCGUCGCCGCGGGCCCAGGAGGAGGGCCCGGGGGAGCCGCCGCCGCCGGAGCUGGCGUUGCUCCCGUCACCGCCGCCGCCGACUCCCGCGACCCCGACGUCCUCGGCGUCCAACCUGGACCUGGGCGAGCAGCGGGAGCGCUGGGAGACGUUCCAGAAGCGGCAGAAGCUCACCUCCGAGGGCGCCGCCAAGCUCCUGCUAGACACCUUUGAAUACCAGGGCCUGGUGAAGCACACAGGAGGCUGCCACUGUGGAGCAGUUCGUUUUGAAGUUUGGGCCUCAGCAGACUUGCAUAUAUUUGACUGCAAGUACCGGAAUUAUAUAUGAAUAAUAAACACAUACGAUGGAAUUACUCAAAUGGAGAACUGACCAGGCUACUAACAAUAGAGUCCAGAUUGGAAAAGAAGCACUGUGGAAUAACUUGUGAGAGGAUUCUAUGCUAAAUUAGAACUUUUUCAAAGGUGGCCUGAAAAGAGGGGACUUCAGUUUAAUUCCAGAGAUGGUAAUUCUGGGGACGUGUUUUACUUGGAGCUGGACUUUUUGUGACGUGGUGAUGAAGAAAGAGGGAAACCUAAACUUCCUUGUCCAUUUUUGGUGUGGAUGUCUCAGAGACAUCAGGUUGUAGCAGUGUCUGAAAUUUGUUUUCUAAGUGUCUCUGAAGUCCAGCGCUUCUCUUCACUGUAAAGAACUGGGGGCUGGGCAGUACAGACCUGUCUGUUCGUCCUGUGUUCUGAGCAUUGCAGAGCCUUUGACUGCUGACUUGGGACCCCCCGUGGGCUCUGCUGUACCUGCAAACCAGAGGCCCUGCUAUCCAGGCCUUUGCCCCGUUCCUCGGCCCUGGAUGGUGCUGAAAGGGGCAUCAUCUGUGGGGUUGGCUGGCUCUGAUAGCUGGGCCGCUCAGGCAUAGAGGACGAAGGUGGCUGCUUACAAUCUGGAAUUUGCUCUGUCUUUCUGUAGCUGCAGCAUUUGCAAGAAGAAGCAGAAUAGACACUUCAUUGUUCCAGCUUCUCGCUUCAAGCUCCUGAAGGUCAGUGCUUAAGAGCAGGGUCAAGGAGUGCAGAACCCAUUGGUGAGAUUUACAGGACUCCCCAACCAACCCUUAGCAUGCCAUCUGUAGCAUGGGAGGGUCCUGGAGCAUAGCAGGGCCUCUCACAGGCUUUGGUUUCAGGUUGACAUUUAAAAGGUGGGCCGGGCACAGUGGCUCAUGCCUGUAAUCCCAGCACUUUGGAAGGCCAAGAUGGGUGGAUCACC